GUGCAGCAGUCGCGAAAACUCCGCAAUACGCGAAAGCGUGACGGGGCCAUCCCGAGUGCCGUCCGCUGAGGAUGGCUUUUCCCUAGUGUAGAUAGCUGGGGGAAUAAGGAGAGGGCAAGUCUGGUGUCAGCCGCCGCGGUAAUACCAGCUCUCCGAGUGGUAGGGACGAUUAUUGGGCCUAAAGCGUCCGUAGCCGGCCAAGCAAGUUUCCCGUUAAAUCCAGCGAUCCAAUCGUUGGACUGCGGGAAAUACUGUUUGGCUAGGGGGCGAGAGAGGCCAACGGUAUUCCCGGGGUAGGGGUGAAAUCCCAUAAUCCCGGGAGGACCACCAGUGGCGAAGGCUGUUGGCUAGAACGCGCUCGACGGUGAGGGACGAAAGCUGGGGGAGCGAACCGGAUUAGAUACCCGGGUAGUCC
rnacentral:rRNA from 1 species